rnacentral:rRNA from 1 species
AUUGAACGCUGGCGGCAUGCCUUACACAUGCAAGUCGAACGGUAACAGGUCUUCGGAUGCUGACGAGUGGCGAACGGGUGAGUAAUACAUCGGAACGUGCCCGAUCGUGGGGGAUAACGAAGCGAAAGCUUUGCUAAUACCGCAUACGAUCUACGGAUGAAAGCAGGGGACCGCAAGGCCUUUCGCGAAUGGAGCGGCCGAUGGCAGAUUAGGUAGUUGGUGGGAUAAAAGCUUACCAAGCCGACGAUCUGUAGCUGGUCUGAGAGGACGACCAGCCGCACUGGGACUGAGACACGGCCCAGACUCCUACGGGAGGCAGCAGUGGGGAAUUUUGGACAAUGGGCGAAAGCCUCAUCCAGCCAUGCCGCGUGCAGGAUGAAGGCCUUCGGGUUGUAAACUGCUUUUGUACGGAACGAAAAGACUCUGGUUAAUACCUGGGGUCCAUGACGGUACCGUAAGAAUAAGCACCGGCUAACUACGUGCCAGCCGCCGCCGUAAUAC